rnacentral:rRNA from 1 species
UACGAAGGGUGCAAGCGUUACUCGGAAUUACUGGGCGUAAAGCGUGCGUAGGUGGUUUGUUAAGUCUGAUGUGAAAGCCCUGGGCUCAACCUGGGAACUGCAUUGGAAACUGGCUUACUAGAGUGCGGUAGAGGGGUGCGGAAUUCCCGGUGGUAGCAGUGAAAUGCGUAGAUAUCGGGAGGAACAUCCGUGGCGAAGGCGGCACCCUGGACCAGCACUGACACUGAGGCACGAAAGCGUGGGGAGCAAACAGGG